rnacentral:rRNA from 1 species
AGGACGAACGCUGGCGGCGUGCUUAACACAUGCAAGUCGAACGGAAAGGCCCGCUUGCGGGUACUCGAGUGGCGAACGGGUGAGUAACACGUGGGCAACCUGCCCCUAGCUCUGGGAUAACUCCUCGAAAGAGGCGCUAAUACCGGAUAACGACCUUUUGUGGCAUCACGAUUGGUCCAAAGUUUUUCGGCUAGGGAUGGGCCCGCGGCCUAUCAGCUUGUUGGUGGGGUAAUGGCCUACCAAGGCGACGACGGGUAGCCGGCCUGAGAGGGCGACCGGCCACACUGGGACUGAGACACGGCCCAGACUCCUACGGGAGGCAGCAGUGGGGAAUAUUGCGCAAUGGGCGAAAGCCUGACGCAGCGACGCCGCGUGAGGGACGACGGCCUUCGGGUUGUAAACCUCUUUCAGCAGGAACGAAUCAAGACGGUACCUGCAGAAGAAGCACCGGCUAACUACGCGCCACGCAGCCGC